AACGGCCUUACCAAGUUGAAAACACCGGUUCUCGUCCGAUCACCGCAGUUAAGCAACGUUGGGCGUGGUUAGUACUUAGAUGGGUGACCUCUUGGGAACCCCACGUACUGUU
rnacentral:rRNA from 1 species